rnacentral:lncRNA from 1 species
CCGCUUGAUAUAACAGAAAUACCAUUUCCAUCAAGGUAAAAAUGGCAUCUGAGCUAGAGCCUUGUGUUCCUCGGGUGUGUUAGAAUUGUCUGUCAAUCCAUGUAGCCCUCACCAGCACUUCAGAACACAAUUUGUUUUACUGCAAAAAGAUUCAUACAUGGGAAACUCAGUCAUAAAUAUGUACUAACUGAGAAGAGCAGGGACAUGGUCAAUAAAGCAGUAUCUUCACAUCAGCUGAAGUUGGGUCAUUGAUUGGAGGAGCCGUGUGCUUGGAAAUGUGAAGGGAAUGUGAACAUACUCUUUGAAAAACUUUUCUUCAAUGAAAUAAUUACAAUCAAUGAGAAGUCCCAGUGAAAACAGACGCCAGGUUCAUGUUUAGCAAAACUGCUUACAAGGGAUGCUCCAAAUGGAACUUCAUUUCUUCUGGCCUGAAGUCAGGCAUACUCCAGGGGUCUUUCUAGUCCAGAGACUAAAUAAAUCCUUCACAAAUUAUCGGGCUUUUGCCAGCAUAGUGAAACCUUAGCCAAAAGACUGUACUUAAUUCCACAUACUACUGUAGUGAGAAGGUAAUGAUGUCUCUCCCUUGGAGAGGAAAAGGAGACAGACAAACCUCUGGGUAACUUCUAACACUUGACCAUCA